rnacentral:rRNA from 1 species
CGUAACCGGGCUGAAGUCGUACCGUAAGGAGCGGUGGACUGGUUACGAGUGAGAAUGUUGGCAUCAGUAGCGAGAUGUGGGUGAGAAUCCCACAGGCCGAAAACCUAAGGUUUCCUCAGGAAGGUUCGUCCGCUGAGGGUUAGUCGGGACCUAAGCCGAGGCCGAAAGGCGUAGGUGAUGGACAACUGGUUGAUAUUCCAGUACCACUACCAUCGUUAUUAUCGAUGGCGUGACGCAGGAGGAUAGUGUGUGCUAGCUAUUGGAUGCUAGUCUAAGCGUUUAGGCAGUGAGAGUAGGCAAAUCCGCUCUCAUAAUGCUGAGGCGUGAUGGGGAAGGUUCUACGGAACCGAAGUACAUGAUUCCACGCUGCCAAGAAAAGCGUCUAGAGAGAGAAGUAGUGCCCGUACCGCAAACCGACACAGGUAGGUGAGGAGAGAAUCCUAAGGCCGGCGGAAGAAUUACAGUUAAGGAACUCGGCAAAUUGACCCCGUAAGUUCGCGAGAAGGGGUGCCUACGAGAGUAGGCCGCAGAGAAUAGGCCCAAGCAACUGUUUAGCAAAAACACAGGUCUCUGCUAAAGCGUAAGCUGAUGUAUAGGGGCUGACGCCUGCCCGGUGCUGGAAGGUUAAGGGGAACACUUAGCGCAAGCGAAGGUGUGAACUUAAGCCCCAGUAAACGGCGGCCGUAACUAUAACGGUCCUAAGGUAGCGAAAUUCCUUGUCAGGUAAGUUCUGACCCGCACGAAUGGCGUAAUGACUUGGGCACUGUCUCAACUGUAAAUCCGGCGAAGUUGUAGUGCGAGUGAAGAUGCUCGCUACCCGCGAUUGGACGGAAAGACCCCGUAGAGCUUUACUGUAGCUUAGCAUUGAGUUUUGGUAUUGUCUGUACAGGAUAGGUGGGAGACUAGGAAACCAGGGCGUCAGCCUUGGUGGAGUCAACCUUGGGAUACCACCCUGACAGUACUGAAAUUCUAACUGGCGGCCAUGAAUCUGGUCACAGGACAUUGUUAGGUGGGCAGUUUGACUGGGGCGGUCGCCUCCUAAAAAGUAACGGAGGCGCCCAAAGGUUCCCUCAGAACGGUCGGAAAUCGUUCGAAGAGUGCAAAGGCAGAAGGGAGCCUGACUGCGACACCCACAAGUGGAGCAGGGACGAAAGUCGGGCUUAGUGAUCCGGUGGUACCUCGUGGGAGGGCCAUCGCUCAACGGAUAAAAGCUACCUCGGGGAUAACAGGCUGAUCUCCCCCAAGAGUCCACAUCGACGGGGAGGUUUGGCACCUCGAUGUCGGCUCGUCGCAUCCUGGGGCUGAAGUAGGUCCCAAGGGUUGGGCUGUUCGCCCAUUAAAGCGGCACGCGAGCUGGGUUCAGAACGUCGUGAGACAGUUCGGUCCCUAUCCGUCGCGGGCGUAGGAAAUUUGAGAGGAGCUGUCCUUAGUACGAGAGGACCGGGAUGGACUGACCUCUGGUGUACCAGUUGUUCCGCCAGGAGCACAGCUGGGUAGCUAAGUCGGGAAUGGAUAAACGCUGAAAGCAUCUAAGCGUGAAGCCAACCUCAAGAUGAGAUUUCCCAUAGCGUAAGCUAGUAAGAUCCCUUGAAGAACACAAGGUUGAUAGGUCGGGGGUGUAAGCAUGGUAACAUGUUCAGCUGACCGAUACUAAUAGAUCG